UUGACCUCAGAUCAGGCAAGACUACC
rnacentral:rRNA from 1 species